rnacentral:lncRNA from 1 species
AUAUGACCGCAGUGGUCGAACCCUGAACAGUUGGGGUCAAAUUUGGUCACAAUAUUCAAGCUUGAUACUGUCUGAAUUUGGAUUGUGUUCCAAUUUUUGACAUAAUAUAGGUUUUUGUCACAAAAUAAAUGUGGUCAAAGAUCUAACAAAUCUAUUGCACAAUACUGUUCAAUUGAAGAUUUCUUCUUGAAACUUUUGAAAACAAGCAGUGUAAGGGAG